GGGAGUGAAAUAGAACAUGAAAUCGUGAGUUUACAAGCAGUAGGAGAGCGACUUAACGCUCAACUUCGUGCCUGUUGAAGAAUGAGCUGGCGACUUGUAGGUUGUGGCAAGGUUAAGAUAAGAGAAUAUCGGAGCCAUAGUGAAAGCGAGCCUGAAAAGGGCUUUAAGUCAUAAUUUACAGACCCGAACCCGGAUGAUCUAACCAUGGCCAGUGUGAAGCUUAGGUAACACUAAGUGGAGGUACCAACCGACUGUUGUUGAAAAAACAGCGGAUGAGUUGUGGUUAGGGGUGAAAUUCCAAUCGAAUCCGGAGCUAGCUGGAUCUCCCCGAAAUGCGUUGAGGCGCAGCG
rnacentral:rRNA from 1 species